GGAUUGUGGCUCAGUGGUAGAGCUCUCGGCUAGCAUGUGUGAGGCCCUGGGUUUGAUCCUCAGCACCA
rnacentral:tRNA from 1 species